rnacentral:lncRNA from 1 species
UUAAACCCAAUAUUUUCGUCUAAUUUCUGAUUCAAUUUCUCCCUUCCACUGAACCCUAAAAUCAGUUCCCCCCUUAAUUCCAUCCGCAAAAUCAGUUCCCCCUUCAUUCCAUCCGCUUUCUCCCUCGCAGGUACGCAAUCUUCCUUUCUUCCUUCUUCUAUUUCCUGUUGUCAUUCAUUUCUUUCAUUUCUCCUUUGGAUUGCCCGUGUUUCCUUUUCCUUUCAGAUUCGCAGUCGGUGGACGAAGCUGCAACGGGGGUUCUGCGGACCGGCAGACAACGGAGCUCAUAACGUCACGGAGGUACAUCGUUCUACAACUCUUUGUGCUUUUAUUUGGUGCAGCGUUUUAUUGAGUUCAUUCUGCGUCACUUUAGUGGGUUAUCUUCUUCCCAGUCUCAAUCAUGUUUUUCAUCAACGAGUAUGAAAUUGCUUCUCAGGUCUUUGUAGAUAGCUUUGGCUCUGUCCUAAUAUGGUCCAUUCUCUAAAAAAUUCAUAAAAAGGUAUGAAUGAUAAAAAUUAAAGCAUGUUAUUACUGAGUAUGAAUUUAUGAUAAUUGAUAUGGAGUGUUUACAAGAGGAGCAUAUAUUUUUAGUUUUGAAAUGUAGCUAAAAAGUGGUAGUGCGAGUGAAUGAACGAACCAANGAAUGAAUAUACAAGGAAGCCAUCAUCGUCACUGNGAGGAACCAAAAGCAACGCAUUAUUCAUAGUUUUCUUUAUGUAUGUAUGUACCUUUUUAUAUCCUCCAUAUAUGUCAAUCUUAUUAGACUUGCAGA